UGUAAAAAUCGCACAAAAUGGGAAAUGGAAAUGGGCUCAUCGGAGGCGAUUUUUAGUUUUUCUUGUGAUGGCGCCAUCGGGCUUUACCUGCAGUUUUCAGCCCAUCCGUUGCUCUUUUUGCUCUGAUUUGGCCAUGAGGGUGUUCAAAAUCAAAUUCCGAGCGAAUAAGAGAGCUUUUUACCUUUUUUGACGGUCGGAGGUGGCUCCGGUGCGGCGGGGGACGGCGGUCGGCUCCCUUCUUCGGCAACUGGUCUUUUUCUCUAGCAGGGGGCUGGCAGCUAGGAUUUUGGUUCGGUGUAAAGUGAGAUAUUUAUGCCCAUCUCCCUUAAAUCUGGACCGUUCAUUGCUUUCGAUCUCGACCGUUCAGUUGCGUUUAAAGAAGAAAUACAUCUGAAUCGUUCAUCGCGAUUUAAUUUGGACUGUACAAUCACGUUUAAAGAGGAAACGAAUUUGAACUGUUCAUCGUGUUUAAUCACGACCGUCCGAUCGCGCCUGAGAGGGGAACGGAUCCAGACUGUCAAAGCGCACGGGAACACAUCCAGAC
rnacentral:lncRNA from 1 species